rnacentral:rRNA from 1 species
GGGUUGUGAGGUUAAGCGACUAAGCGUACACGGUGGAUGCCUUGGCAGUCAGAGGCGAUGAAGGACGUGCUAAUCUGCGAUAAGCGUCGGUAAGGUGAUAUGAACCGUUAUAACCGGCGAUUUCCGAAUGGGGAAACCCAGUGUGUUUCGUCACACUAUCAUUAACUGAAUCCAUAGGUUAAUGAGGCGAACCGGGGGAACUGAAACAUCUAAGUAUCCCGAGGAAAAGAAAUCAACCGAGAUUCCCUCAGUAGCGGCGAGCGAACGGGGAGCAGCCCAGAGCCUGAAUCAGUGUGUGUGUUAGUGGAAGCGUCUGGAAAGGCGCGCGAUACAGGGUGACAGCCCCGUACACAAAAAUGCACAUAUUGUGAGCUCGAUGAGUAGGGCGGGACACGUGGUAUCCUGUCUGAAUAUGGGGGGACCAUCCUCCAAGGCUAAAUACUCCUGACUGACCGAUAGUGAACCAGUACCGUGAGGGAAAGGCGAAAAGAACCCCGGCGAGGGGAGUGAAAAAGAACCUGAAACCGUGUACGUACAAGCAGUGGGAGCACGCUUAGGCGUGUGACUGCGUACCUUUUGUAUAAUGGGUCAGCGACUUAUAUUCUGUAGCAAGGUUAACCGAAUAGGGGAGCCGAAGGGAAACCGAGUCUUAACUGGGCGUUAAGUUGCAGGGUAUAGACCCGAAACCCGGUGAUCUAGCCAUGGGCAGGUUGAAGGUUGGGUAACACUAACUGGAGGACCGAACCGACUAAUGUUGAAAAAUUAGCGGAUGACUUGUGGCUGGGGGUGAAAGGCCAAUCAAACCGGGAGAUAGCUGGUUCUCCCCGAAAGCUAUUUAGGUAGCGCCUCGUGAAUUCAUCUCCGGGGGUAGAGCACUGUUUCGGCAAGGGGGUCAUCCCGACUUACCAACCCGAUGCAAACUGCGAAUACCGGAGAAUGUUAUCACGGGAGACACACGGCGGGUGCUAACGUCCGUCGUGAAGAGGGAAACAACCCAGACCGCCAGCUAAGGUCCCAAAGUCAUGGUUAAGUGGGAAACGAUGUGGGAAGGCCCAGACAGCCAGGAUGUUGGCUUAGAAGCAGCCAUCAUUUAAAGAAAGCGUAAUAGCUCACUGGUCGAGUCGGCCUGCGCGGAAGAUGUAACGGGGCUAAACCAUGCACCGAAGCUGCGGCAGCGACGCUGAUGCGUUGUUGGGUAGGGGAGCGUUCUGUAAGCCUGUGAAGGUGUGCUGUGAGGCAUGCUGGAGGUAUCAGAAGUGCGAAUGCUGACAUAAGUAACGAUAAAGCGGGUGAAAAGCCCGCUCGCCGGAAGACCAAGGGUUCCUGUCCAACGUUAAUCGGGGCAGGGUGAGUCGACCCCUAAGGCGAGGCCGAAAGGCGUAGUCGAUGGGAAACAGGUUAAUAUUCCUGUACUUGGUGUUACUGCGAAGGGGGGACGGAGAAGGCUAUGUUGGCCGGGCGACGGUUGUCCCGGUUUAAGCGUGUAGGCUGGUUUUCCAGGCAAAUCCGGAAAAUCAAGGCUGAGGCGUGAUGACGAGGCACUACGGUGCUGAAGCAACAAAUGCCCUGCUUCCAGGAAAAGCCUCUAAGCAUCAGGUAACAUCAAAUCGUACCCCAAACCGACACAGGUGGUCAGGUAGAGAAUACCAAGGCGCUUGAGAGAACUCGGGUGAAGGAACUAGGCAAAAUGGUGCCGUAACUUCGGGAGAAGGCACGCUGAUAUGUAGGUGAAGUCCCUCGCGGAUGGAGCUGAAAUCAGUCGAAGAUACCAGCUGGCUGCAACUGUUUAUUAAAAACACAGCACUGUGCAAACACGAAAGUGGACGUAUACGGUGUGACGCCUGCCCGGUGCCGGAAGGUUAAUUGAUGGGGUCAGCGCAAGCGAAGCUCUUGAUCGAAGCCCCGGUAAACGGCGGCCGUAACUAUAACGGUCCUAAGGUAGCGAAAUUCCUUGUCGGGUAAGUUCCGACCUGCACGAAUGGCGUAAUGAUGGCCAGGCUGUCUCCACCCGAGACUCAGUGAAAUUGAACUCGCUGUGAAGAUGCAGUGUACCCGCGGCAAGACGGAAAGACCCCGUGAACCUUUACUAUAGCUUGACACUGAACAUUGAGCCUUGAUGUGUAGGAUAGGUGGGAGGCUUGGAAGUGUGGACGCCAGUCUGCAUGGAGCCGACCUUGAAAUACCACCCUUUAAUGUUUGAUGUUCUAACGUGGACCCGUGAUCCGGGUUGCGGACAGUGUCUGGUGGGUAGUUUGACUGGGGCGGUCUCCUCCUAAAGAGUAACGGAGGAGCACGAAGGUUGGCUAAUCCUGGUCGGACAUCAGGAGGUUAGUGCAAUGGCAUAAGCCAGCUUGACUGCGAGCGUGACGGCGCGAGCAGGUGCGAAAGCAGGUCAUAGUGAUCCGGUGGUUCUGAAUGGAAGGGCCAUCGCUCAACGGAUAAAAGGUACUCCGGGGAUAACAGGCUGAUACCGCCCAAGAGUUCAUAUCGACGGCGGUGUUUGGCACCUCGAUGUCGGCUCAUCACAUCCUGGGGCUGAAGUAGGUCCCAAGGGUAUGGCUGUUCGCCAUUUAAAGUGGUACGCGAGCUGGGUUUAGAACGUCGUGAGACAGUUCGGUCCCUAUCUGCCGUGGGCGCUGGAGAACUGAGGGGGGCUGCUCCUAGUACGAGAGGACCGGAGUGGACGCAUCACUGGUGUUCGGGUUGUCAUGCCAAUGGCACUGCCCGGUAGCUAAAUGCGGAAGAGAUAAGUGCUGAAAGCAUCUAAGCACGAAACUUGCCCCGAGAUGAGUUCUCCCUGACUCCUUGAGAGUCCUGAAGGAACGUUGAAGACGACGACGUUGAUAGGCCGGGUGUGUAAGCGCAGCGAUGCGUUGAGCUAACCGGUACUAAUGAACCGUGAGGCUUAACCUUACAACGCCGAAG